CAACAAACAUUCCUGUUCGUUCAGACCAUGAAACGUGAGAAACCGUUUUUUACCCACACGCGCCUGGAACCGCCGUGGGGAUCAUUUUCACCUGGGCACCGUUGACGCCCCCCCCCCCUCCUCCUCUCUCUCAGGAAACCCUAAAGACAGACGGGGAGAGAGGGGGAGAGAGAGAGAGAAAGAGAGAUAAAAGCCCCUUGGAAUAAUUGCCUGCCAGUUCCUCUGGCCGCCAUCAAUACAGAGUCUCUCUCUCUCUCUCAUCGAAUCUCGUCCGCCCGAGCGUAAGCCGAUUCCUCUGUCCUUUUCAUGCUCCCCUGUUUCUCCUGUCCCCACCUUCUCCUCAUUCCUUAAAAGCCUUUUCUCACAGGUUAUAGAGUCAGAAAGUCUCCAUUCCUCCUUUUACAUUCGCUUUUUUAAGGAAUUUUUUUGGGUUAGUCUCUCUCUCCCUCUGAUAUAGAUUGAAUUUGUGAGCAGUGCUGUUGUUAUUAGUUCCAUAAUCAAAGAUAUUCUCUUCUCCUUUUUUUUUUUGUUUUGGGGGCUAAUUAUUAGUUUAGUGAUGGGAAAACCAACUGGAAAAAAGAACAAACAAACCGAACCGAAACCUAACGAAGCAAACGCCGGGAAACACGGCAAAACCUCGAAGGCGUUCGACGAGGACACGGCCGUGUUCGUCAACAUGUCACAGGAGCUAAAAGAGGAGGGCAACAAGCUGUUCCAGAAGCGCGACCACGAGGGCGCCAUGUUGAAGUACGAAAAGGCCCUCAAGCUCCUGCCCCGGAGCCACAUCGACGUGGCCUACCUGCGCAGCAACAUGGCCGCCUGCUACAUGCAGAUGGGCCUCGGCGAGUACCCGAGAGCGAUCCACGAGUGCAACCUUGCGUUGGAAGUGACCCCUAAGUAUAGCAAGGCGCUGUUGAAGCGGGCCAGGUGUUACGAGGGUCUGAACAGGCUUGAUUUUGCAAUGAGGGAUGUUAAUCAUGUCCUGAGUAUCGAGCCAAAUAAUUUGACCGCGUUGGAGAUAGGGGAGAGCGUGAGGAAGGGGAUUGAGGAGAGGGGCGGUGUUAGUGUUGUUGAGGAUAAGGAGGUUGUUUUGCCCUAUGUGGAGCCUCCUGUGAAGCCGACGUGGAAGAGCGUGAGGGAGAAGGUGAAAAAGAAGAAGGGGAGUAAAUUGGGCAGGUCGGAAAGCGGGAAGCGUGUUGAGGAAAGGGGAAAAGAUGUGGGAAUGGAGGAGAAGAAGGCGGAGGAGGAGGAGAAGAAGGCGGAGGAGGUGAAGGAGGUGAAGGUGGUUGUGGAGGAGGAGAAGAGGAGCGUGAAGGAAGAGAAAGCGGUGACAAGGACGGUGAAAUUGGUGUUUGGGGAGGAUAUAAGGUGGGCUCAGCUGCCAGUUAAUUGCGAUGUUCGGCUGGUGAGGGAUGUGGUUAAGGAUAGGUUUCCUAAUAUGAAGGGUGUGCUUAUCAAGUACAGGGAUGGAGAAGGUGAUUUGGUUACCAUCACCACAACUGAUGAGCUGAGGUUGGCUGAAGCAUCUGGUGAUCAACAGGGUUCUCUCAGGUUCUAUGUUGUCGAUGUUAGUCCUGAUAAAGACCCGCUUCACGAGGAGGAGUUGGAAAAAAUCAGCAGUGGUUCAGGAAAUGUUUAUGAAAAUGGGUACGUCGGGAAAUAUAGGGUAACAGAGGAGGGAACAAACUGUAUUGAUGAUUGGAUCGUCCAGUUUGCUCGGCUGUUCAAGAAUCAUGUGGGAUUUGAUUCGGAUUCGUAUUUGGAUCUUCAUGAGCUUGGGAUGAAGCUAUAUUCGGAAGCGAUGGAGGACACUGUUACCGGUGAAGAUGCACAAGAACUAUUUGAAAUCGCAGGGGAGAAGUUCCAAGAGAUGGCGGCUUUGGCCUUGUUCAACUGGGGAAAUGUUCACAUGUCUAGAGCUAGGAAACGGGUGUUUCUGACAGAAGAUGGUUCUAGGGAAACAGUACUAGCACAAGUGAAGAGUGCAUUUGAAUGGGCAAAGAAGGAAUACGUUAAGGCAGGAAAGCGCUAUCAGGACGCUGUGCAAAUCAAACCAGACUUUUAUGAAGGCCUGCUUGCACUGGGGCAGCAGCAGUUUGAACAAGCAAAGCUCUUGUGGUACUAUGCAAUUGGAGGCGGGGUUGAUUUGGAGACGGGGUCUGCGUCCGAGAUCCUAGAGCUUUAUAAUAAAGCCGAAGAUAGCAUGGAGAGAGGUAUGCAAAUGUGGGAGGAGAUGGAAGAACAGCGUCUUAAUGGGCUCUCCAAAUCGGAGAAAUACAAAGCUGAUUUGCAGAAAAUGGGUUUGGAUGGGCUAUUUAAAGAUGUGUCUGCUGAUGAAGCUACGGAGCAGGCUGCAAAUAUGAAGUCUCAAAUAUACAUCUUAUGGGGUACUUUGCUUUACGAGCGUUCAAUUGUGGAAUAUAAGUUGGUAUUGCCAACUUGGGAAGAAUGUCUGGAGGUUGCUGUUGAGAAGUUUGAACUUGCUGGAGCAUCUCCAACGGAUGUAGCUGUGAUGAUAAAGAACCAUUGUUCCAAUGACUCUGCAGUGGAUGGUCUUGGAUUUAAAAUUGAUGAAAUAGUAAUGGCAUGGAAUGAGAUGUAUGAUGCGAAAAGGUGGCAGACUGGCGUUCCAUCUUUCCGGCUUGAACCAUUGUUUCGUCGGAGAGUUCCAAAACUACAUUCUAUGUUGGAGCAUAUUUAAUUGCUUUGUUCACAACUGGAGAUUUUUCUAUGCCAGUAAAGAAAGUAUCAGGAUUGUUUCUUGGUUUGGUAGUCAGACAGCUAUGGGGUUACGGGUUACCAAGUAUGAUAGGUUUUCUUUGUGGAUUGUUGUGUUCACUGGAUGGUGAUAUUUUUGCAAGUAAAGAUAUACACAAUUUGUUGAUGCUGGUUUCUUUUACCAUAUCAUGAAGGUAUACAGAGUUGGUUUUGGAAUAGGAGUGAAUUUUUCUUCCUUUUGAUUGGCUGCAAAGCUAUAUAUCAUUUUUCCUCAUGUGUGGUUGUAUUCUCCUGUUUUUUGGGGUCAUAUUUUCUCAGACACAUGAAAAAGCAGGACUCUUGUUCUUUUCUGUCAUGUUGUUCACAAUUUGAGGUUGUGUGUAAAUGAUUGGUUUUGUAACAUCAUCGAAUGAUUAUGUGGUGGUAAUUUUUGUUGUAUUCAUUUUCUUUUUUUA